GACGAACGCUGGCGGCGUGCUUAACACAUGCAAGUCGAACGGAAAGGCCCUGCUUUUGUCGUGUGCUCGAGUGGCGAACGGGUGAGUAACACGUGAGUAACCUGCCCUUGACUUUGGGAUAACUUCAGGAAACUUGGGCUAAUACCGGAUAGGUGCUCCUGCUGCAUGGUGGUGGUUGGAAAGUUUCGGCGGUUGGGGAUGGACUCGCGGCUUAUCAGAUUGUUGGUGGGGUAGUGGCUUACCAAGGCUUUGACGGGUAGCCGGCCUGAGAGGGGGACCGGCCACAUUGGGACUGAGAUACGGCCCGGACUCGUACGGGAGGCAGCAGUGGGGAAUAGUGCACAAUGGGCGGAAGCCUGAUGCAGCAACGCCGCGUGAGGGAUGACGGCCUUCGGGUUGUAAACCGCUUUCGCCUGUGACGAAGCGUGAGUGACGGUAAUGGAUAAAGAAGCACCGGCUAACUACGUG
rnacentral:rRNA from 1 species